CACGUAGGGACCAAGCGUUGUCCGGAUUCAUUGGGCGUAAAGCGUACGCAGGCGGUUCGUUAUGUCCGUUGUGAAAGCCCCGGGCUCAACCUGGGAAUGGCAAUGGAAACUGGCGGGCUAGAGUGUGGCAGAGGGGGGUGGAAUUCCGCGUGUAGCAGUGAAAUGCGUAGAGAUGCGGAGGAACACCGAUGGCGAAGGCAGCCCCCUGGGCUAGCACUGACGCUCAGGCACGAAAGCGUGGGGAGCAAACAGG
rnacentral:rRNA from 1 species